GAUGAACGCUGGCGGCGUGCCUAAUACAUGCAAGUCGAGCGAAUGGAUUAAGAGCUUGCUCUUAUGAAGUUAGCGGCGGACGGGUGAGUAACACGUGGGUAACCUGCCCAUAAGACUGGGAUAACUCCGGGAAACCGGGGCUAAUACCGGAUAACAUUUUGAACCGCAUGGUUCGAAAUUGAAAGGCGGCUUCGGCUGUCACUUAUGGAUGGACCCGCGUCGCAUUCGCUAGUUGGUGAGGUAACGGGUCACCAAGGCAACGAUGCGUAGCCGACCUGAGAGGGUGAGCGGCCACACUGGGACUGAGACACGGCCCAGACUCCUACGGGAGGCAGCAGUAGGGAAUCUUCCGCAAUGGACGAAAGUCUGACGGAGCAACGCCGCGUGAGUGAUGAAGGCUUUCGGGUCGUAAAACUCUGUUGUUAGGGAAGAACAAGUGCUAGUUGAAUAAGCUGGCACCUUGACGGUACCUAACCAGAAAGCCACGGCUAACUACGUGCCAGCCGCCGCGGUAA
rnacentral:rRNA from 1 species